CUUGAUAAAACAGCUUCAAUGAUGUUAGAAACAGCCGUCUUUGAGUUUCUCUGUUAGGGCACAAGUCUCCCAACUUUCCAAUAGUCAAAAAGAUCCCUAAAAAGUGAAGAAAAAAACGCGUUUUUAAACAUUCAGCCACGCGCCCCAGGCGCAAAAUUCGCGCUUCAGGCGCAAGUAGACAGAUCCAAGAUGGCCGAAAUGUGUCCCAGGCACAGGUCUUUGCGCUUCAGGCGCACAACAUAUGAUGUCUGGCGUAUACAGCAGUUUGCUCCUCUUUCGAGUCUGAAUUGGGUUCCGAUGUCUUCAUGAACGUUAUAGCUAUGGAUCUUAGCUUUCAUAUGCACUUUGUUUGACUCCAAUUGGACAUCUAUAUCUUCAGACAUGACCGAAAUACUCCAUAUAGGUAAUGUUGAUUUUUCG
rnacentral:lncRNA from 1 species